rnacentral:lncRNA from 1 species
ACUUCCCGAGGACCGACGGCAAGGGAAGCAGGACAAAAUAAAGCCAGGCUGACAACGAGCGGAGAGUUGCUCUUCUUAGGGAAGGGCUGUGCGCGCGUUGUUUUAGACUUGACCUUCUUUAGUGACAGAAUCAGGAUGCUUCCUUAUUUCAGCAGCAGACGUUAUUUCAGCAACUCAGUGCAUUUCAAUGUCGCUUCCCUGAAGCAGAUGUCCCCUUGCAAUUUACAAUUCAUUCAAAAAACUCCUACAGUCAGGGGCAUAUGCGUUUACCUGGGACGUAUACCUGAGUUUAUCUGAGUUCAAGCUCCCUUGAACUCAAUGGGACUUAUGUAUAGGAUUUUUUUUCUGUUAGGCUGCAGUCCUUUUACCUGCCUAAAUGGAAGUAAGUCCCAUAACUAAAUGAGGCUUGCACAGGGUUGCAGUGUAAGGCUUUGUGACAUUUAAUUAAAUUAAAAUUAAUUUUAAAUUUAAAUUAAAUUAAAAUUAAGACGAACAUAGUGAGUCCACUUCAUUAGAUGCAUGAAGUGAAGUGCACUGGAGUCCAUGAAAACUGAUGCUAUAAACAAAAUGUGUGAGUCUUUAAGGUGGCACAAGACUUGGUUGAUUUUGCUACCCCUCUGGAAAUAAGUAUAUACAAUCAGUGCUUUUUUUUCUUUAAAAAAUUGUUUAGGGGUACUCUCAUUUUCCUACUCAUAUUGAAAUACUGCCCCUCAAGGAGGCCACAUUUAGAUUCACAAAAUGUUUAGGGGUAUGUGUACCCCCGCAUCCCUGUCCCCCUGAAAAAAGCACUGUAUACAAACAUACAACAAUCAGUUUAUUUUCCACUAAUGUUCCUUAUUUUGGGAUAAACUACAUGAGUCUCAAGGGGAGUGAAUGUUUAAAUGCACAAUAACUUGUCUGGAGACUCUCUGUGUGCACUCUGUAAGAAAGGGGACUACAAAUUAUAGGCUUCUUCAACUGCUACAGAAUAGUAAUUAAAGACUAAUGUAGUGCUUCUGUUUUUACUGCAGGUGGCAUCAUGGUAUAUACUCAUUCUGCAGGGAGUCAGAAGCUGAAUACCUCUGGGAAGAUUAUGCUUUCUUUAAUCUUACUGGAAAAGUUAUUGGUACUUAUUUAGAAUUUCACUAAUUCAUUACUUAUAAAUUUCCUUUGGUGAAUUUUCCAGUUGUUUCAUUCAUUUUGUUCAUUUUGCCAUAAGUGUAAAGUGCUAAUAUCUGGAAUACAUAAUUUAAUUUAGGAACAUCUUCUUUUUAUAUAUAAAAAACCAAUACAAGCUCUUUAACUUGAAUGUUAGUAAACAAAAUUUUCUACAAAGUGCUACUGAUCCAAAGAAAUGCUUCCUGUGCAAUUCAAUAGUCUAAAACUGCCUCUGAAUUUUAUUAACACACUAAAUUUAACAAUCUGAGCAUCUGCUGGUAGGUGGAGUACUAUGAAACAAGGCUUCCCAAAGUGUGCGAACUUCCCUACAACAUGACAAAAAAGGUGAAUUUCCUCAAGUAUAACUAAGUGAAAACAAAGACAUAGGCAUGUUUAGACAAUGUUCAACCUAACAUGAGCCUUGCGUAAAGAAGAGCAGGGUGGCAGAAAAGGUAUAAUACAACAUGUAUUAAAGUUCUAGGGAAAAAAGAAAGCAUAUAAAAAUAGAUAUUAUCUCUGUUAAUCACACCCAUCAGCAUAACCUACCCAAUACAAAUGCUUAUUCACAUUUGUAGUGUAUCUUUUCUCCAAAGUGCUCAACAGAGUACACUUGAGCUCUGGCCAUUUUUAUUUUCACAACAACUACUUGAGGUGUGACAUAAUGCCUGACUCAAUGAGUUUCAUGGCUGAGCAAACAUUUAAACCCAGAUCUCCCAAGUCCAUUAAUUAUAGCACACUUGAUCUCAUGUUCUGCUAAGCUGGAGGAGGAGAGGUUUAUAUUCCAAACCAAAGCAGUAUAUACCCAUUUGUUAUGUGCACAAACUACAGUAGGGGAGGGGGAGUCAAGGAUAGACUUGAUAAGAUUUCCCCUAGCAAAGUCUUAUGUUUUCUCAUGCCUAAUCCAUAUGAUUGUGCAUGUCAAUUUUAUCAGUCUUUGCUGUGCUAUGCAUGUGAUCACAAAAGGACAAUUAUCUUGAGGCAAGAGCACCUAGGAAAUCCUAAUACCCUAACAAGGCAAGCGCCAACCAUAUGUCACUUCCAUUUUGUCAUUAUUAAGAUUUUCUUUAGUUGGAUCUUAACAGCCUGCUUGCAUGCAGGCACACACACACACACACACACACACACACACACACACACACCAAAUGAGUAAUAUUUGGGAAGUGUAACAGUGAAUCACCUGAUAUGACAUUUACUCAAAUUCUUUUCUUGUGACUGUGAUGCACCGGGCUUAACAACAAAGUACAGUUUACAAGUGAAAUUCUACUUUAGGAGCCUCUGAAUCACCACCAGCAAUGUAGAGGGGCUAAGAUUCCCUGCACAUCUCUCUGGAGUGUCAUUCUAAAGCAAAUAUUUAUGUAGUGCAUUGCAUCUAACCAGAGUUUGGAAGCUUCUGAACAUUUUGGAGCAGCUUCUGAACAGCCUCCCCCCCAAGAGUAGUCAUAAUACAGUACUGACAUUUGUUGUCAUGAUAACGUUACAUCCUGAUUGUUGUGCUGAAAACAUGAGCAAAUCUGGGCAAUGACAGCAGAAAUGAUACCAACAGACACAAGUAUAAAUUUUCAUUGGCACUUUUGAGAAUGCAUCCAAGGAUUAUUAUGUAAGAUUACGUACACUAAGCUGUUGAGUAGGACUUGUCUGAGAAUAAGAGUAUUUAACGAGGGAUAAGGAGAUGCCACAAAUGGCUGGGGAGCUAAGGAGGAAGAGCCAGGGGCUACUGCUACUACACCUUAUGCCACCUGAGGCAGUCACCUCACUUUUCCUAACAGUGGGGCUGGCCAUGGUGCUUGUGUCUUGCAACAGCAACACUAACAGAUCUAGGGAGAGCUAAAGUUUACACUGUGGUAAGAAUUUAUUCAUUUAUUUAUUUCAUUAAAUUUCUAUACCAUGCUUCAUCUGAAGACCAUGGGGCAGUUUACUAUAUAAAAACCACAAAAACACAUGCCCUAAUAACAAACAAAACCAAUCCACACAUCCCGCAACCACAUUUCAAAAGGCCAUAGACUGUUCAAUUAGCCAAAGGCCUGGGAGAAGAGGAAUGCCUGGCAUCUAAAGAUAUGCAACGAAGGAGCCAGGUGAGCCUCCUUGGAGAAGAACGGAAUAUAAUUCCCCACAAAAGACAGUCCUUCAAAGGUUUUAAUGAGACAAAAGGGGGAAAUACUAGAUUGUAAAAGCAAGUCUCUUUACAGAGCUAGAGAAAUCAAUUGCAGAACUACAGUAUUUAGAGGUAAGCUUCCUUUAAGACAUAAGCAGAGUUAUAGGGCAAUUUGCAAGGCUAACUUAGGGGUAGGGAUCUAUCUUAUGGGUUACUGUGCUGGCUGUCAAAAUAAAAUACAGGCACACCUAUUUCCAUGUCCAUAUACCUGUCUUUUUUCUCGCAUAGUGAAUAGCAGGCAUAAGGGGUAGGCCUGAAUCCAACUGGGACUCAGGCAAGCAGGGUGUUGAGUUGUAGGUGAACAUAUCAGACGACACAGCGAUUCUUCAAACUGCUCUUGUUUAUUCACAGACCAGAACAGAACUUAACUGAAGGGUCCAGCCAGCCUGCUUAUAUAGAGCUCCACUACAACGCAACUGCAACAACUUUCUGUAACUAUCCAAUCACUGAACGUCACUUUCAAUCCCUUAUUUGCAUAUGUGGACCUGAGUGAAAACUAUCUACAGUACCCCCCCUGCUGGCCCAGGGUGAGAACUUCAGUACAUAACAACGGGGGUUAAAGCUUCCUUCACGGUGCCAAUUUCCCAGUCCCGCUCCCCACUCCACCCCAUUUAUUAAACAAGAAACAGCUAUGCAGCACCAAAUUACGUGAUAAAAGUCACAUCCAGUUUCACCCUUAGUCACUGUGUUACAUUAGUCUUGCUAACAUGUCGCAUAAUUUUAAAUCUGUUUACUCAGAAGUAGUAUCUACUGUUUUCAUGGGGACUUACACGCAACAUCCUCAGCGUAUUUUGGCCACCAUGUAGUCCUCUAUGUUGACACAAGUCUAAUCACUUGAUAGGUUUAUUACUGGCAGAGAGUGCAGCAGGAUAAACAUGGACCCAAUCUGUUCAUCCAGAAUGCUAACACAUUAGCCCCAAACCACUUUAAGAUCAAGGAUAUGCCAUACUUUCCUCUGCAGCAGAAACUAUUACACAAUUCCAGGGCAUUUUAAUGGCCUAAACACAGAUGCAGGUAUUUACUGAAUAUCUUCCCUUCAUGACUCAUUAUCUUCUCCUUAAAGUGCUGUAUCGUGGCUGCUGUUUUAUACUAAAAGGAAAAUUUAAUAGUAAAUAAAAAGGUUCACAGAGUUUAAUGUGUUUGGAGGACACUGAAAUAUAUUGUCCAAAUUGUUUGACAUGUUUAGCAACAUGAAAGGUACAUCUCCAAAGCUAACAACCUUCCCUUCCCUUACUCAGUGGGGUAAGAAGAAAAACUAUCUUGGUUUUGUAGUCAUCCCCUCCUUUAACUGCACCAAUUUAGCACCACCCCUUAUAUCUGAGGUCAUGACCCCUCAACCACUAUGUGUUUUAUUUAGAAUUUCUGAACAUGUAUAUAAUGCCUUUGCUUCAAAAGGAAGCAGUUGUAAUCUGUCCACAAAAACAAUUAAGGAGCAAGUUCUAUCCCC